AUACUUGCCUAGCGUAGGGGAUACCGUGAUUAUGCAGGCGGUUCCCCCAGGGCGAGGCUGCUUCAUUGCACUACCGAGUGGUUGAUCCUUACGAUUAUUUUUAUUUUUAUCAAUAAAAAAAUCAUAAUAAUAAAUUUAUACCCGAAUAAUUAUUUUCUUUUAUAC
rnacentral:snRNA from 1 species